rnacentral:rRNA from 1 species
GACGAACGCUGGCGGCGUGCCUAAUACAUGCAAGUAGAACGCUGAAGAGAGGAGCUUCCUCUUCUUGGGUGAGUUGCGAACGGGUGAGUAACGCGUAGGUAACCUGCCUUGUAGCGGGGGAUAACUAUUGGAAACGAUAGCUAAUACCGCAUAACAAUGGAUGACACAUGUCCUUUAUUUGAAAGGGGCAAUUGCUCCACUACAAGAUGGACCUGCGUUGUAUUAGCUAGUAGGUGAGGUAAUGGCUCACCUAGGCGACGAUACAUAGCCGACCUGAGAGGGUGAUCGGCCACACUGGGACUGAGACACGGCCCAGACUCCUACGGGAGGCAGCAGUAGGGAAUCUUCGGCAAUGGGGGCAACCCUGACCGAGCAACGCCGCGUGAGUGAAGAAGGUUUUCGGAUCGUAAAGCUCUGUUGUAAGUCAAGAACGGGUGUGAGAGUGGAAAGUUCACACUGUGACGGUAGCUUACCAGAAAGGGACGGCUAACUACGUG